UCCAAUGUGUCAAUGGUGGGUUG
rnacentral:piRNA from 1 species